GCGUGUUGCGGGACCUUUCGCAAGGCUAAAACAGGUCCUCUGGGAGGUGGCUUCCCGGGCUCCAUGGUAACAGCUCCGCGUCACCUGCCUGCGACUUCGUUCCCUUGGGUGGACAGAGCAAAUUUGAAAAGGUCGAGGGAUCUGAGCCCAACAGCCAGCUCUGCAUCCCCAUCCUGAGGUUGGAGAGACCAGGAUCAGACAUUGGCGGUGUUUGGCCCCUCUGGACACCGGUCUGCGGAAGGAGAGGCCACCCUGACGGUAUUCUGGGGCUCCGGGUAGACCUGUCCUAGUUGGGCUCUAUCGCCAAUCAACCGACCCGCAAGAGUUUAUCAGGAAAGCCUCUAGAGCCAGCCUGGGAUGACUGCCAACAGCUUUUACAGAUCCUGUUCACCACUGAGGAGCGGACCGCAUUUAUCAACAGACAGUCAAAGAGGCCCUGGGGCCAAACCCUGGCAUCACUCCUGGAACUCCGGGGCAUUCAGCCAAGGCUGAAACAGUAGUUCCAUCGUGACACCCCGAAUGGGACCCCAAUGAUGAUGACGUCUCUUCAAGCCUUACAGAUUCUUCAGAGUGAGAUCCAGGCUACAAUACAACAGGUUUGAGAAAAACCCUUUGCAAUGUUCCAGCCCCAUGGUUUCAAGCCAGGAGACCUGGUCCUGAUAUGCUUGGUUUGCUUGCACUGAGGACUUGACUAAAAACAUUCCCAAAUCAGUCUUGGCUACCCAAUCUGCCACUUUAUUUUGUGUCACCAUGUAUGUUGUUCCACAAGUCUUGUAUUAUAAUA